GUGGACCUACGGGGCGCAGCAGUGGGGAAUAUUGGGCAAUGGGCGCAAGCCUGACCCAGCAACGCCGCGUGAAGGAAGAAGGCUUUCGGGUUGUAAACUUCUUUUCUCAGGGACGAAGCAAGUGACGGUACCUGAGGAAUAAGCCACGGCUAACUACGUGCCAGCAGCCGCGGUAAUACGUAGGUGGCAAGCGUUAUCCGGAUUUACUGGGUGUAAAGGGCGUGUAGGCGGGAAAGCAAGUCAGAUGUGAAAACCAAGGGCUCAACCUGGGGACCGCAUUUUAUACUGUUUUUCUUGAGUACUGG
rnacentral:rRNA from 1 species